ACUCCUACGGGAGGCAGCAGUGGGGAAUUUUGGACAAUGGGCGCAAGCCUGAUCCAGCCAUGCCGCGUGCGGGAAGAAGGCCUUCGGGUUGUAAACCGCUUUCAGCCGGAAAGAAAUCGCCAUUCCUAAUACGAGUGGUGGAUGACGGUACCAGCAGAAGAAGCACCGGCUAACUACGUGCCAGCAGCCGCGGUAAUACGUAGGGUGCGAGCGUUAAUCGGAAUUACUGGGCGUAAAGCGUGCGCAGGCGGAUUGUUAAGCAAGACGUGAAAUCCCCGGGCUUAACCUGGGAAUGGCGUUUUGAACUGGCAGUCUAGAGUGCGUCAGAGGGGGGUGGAAUUCCACGUGUAGCAGUGAAAUGCGUAGAGAUGUGGAGGAACACCGAUGGCGAAGGCAGCCCCCUGGGAUGACACUGACGCUCAUGUACGAAAGCGUGGGUAGCAAACAGGAUUAGAUACCCUGGUAGUC
rnacentral:rRNA from 1 species